GUCUACGGCCAUACCUCCCUGAACACGCCCGAUCUUGUCUGAUCUCGGAAGCUAAGCAGGGUCGGGCCUGGUUAGUACUUGGAUAGGAGAAGUGGAUUUCAUACCCA
rnacentral:rRNA from 1 species